UACGAAGGGGGCUAGCGUUGCUCGGAAUUACUGGGCGUAAAGCGCACGUAGGCGGCUUUUUAAGUCGGUGGUGAAAUCCUGGAGCUCAACUCCAGAACUGCCUUCGAUACUGGAAAGCUCGAGUCCGGGAGAGGUGAGUGGAACUGCGAGUGUAGAGGUGAAAUUCGUAGAUAUUCGCAAGAACACCAGUGGCGAAGGCGGCUCACUGGCCCGGUACUGACGCUGAGGUGCGAAAGCGUGGGGAGCAAACAGG
rnacentral:rRNA from 1 species